rnacentral:rRNA from 3 species
GGGUUGUGAGGUUAAGCGACUAAGCGUACACGGUGGAUGCCCUGGCAGUCAGAGGCGAUGAAGGGCGUGCUAAUCUGCGAUAAGCGCCGGUAAGGUGAUAUGAACCGUUAUAACCGGCGAUACCCGAAUGGGGAAACCCAGUGUGAUUCGUCACACUAUCAUUAACUGAAUCCAUAGGUUAAUGAGGCGAACCGGGGGAACUGAAACAUCUAAGUACCCCGAGGAAAAGAAAUCAACCGAGAUUCCCCCAGUAGCGGCGAGCGAACGGGGAGGAGCCCAGAGCCUGAAUCAGCAUGUGUGUUAGUGGAAGCGUCUGGAAAGGCGCGCGAUACAGGGUGACAGCCCCGUACACAAAAGCGCAUGUGCUGUGAGCUCGAUGAGUAGGGCGGGACACGUGGUAUCCUGUCUGAAUAUGGGGGGACCAUCCUCCAAGGCUAAAUACUCCUGACUGACCGAUAGUGAACCAGUACCGUGAGGGAAAGGCGAAAAGAACCCCGGCGAGGGGAGUGAAAAAGAACCUGAAACCGUGUACGUACAAGCAGUGGGAGCACAGGUUUACCUGUGUGACUGCGUACCUUUUGUAUAAUGGGUCAGCGACUUAUAUUCUGUAGCAAGGUUAACCGAAUAGGGGAGCCGGAGGGAAACCGAGUCUUAAUUGGGCGUUAAGUUGCAGGGUA